GACGAACGCUGGCGGCGUGCCUAAUACAUGCAAGUUGAGCGCUGAAGGUUGGUACUUGUACCAACUGGAUGAGCAGCGAACGGGUGAGUAACGCGUGGGGAAUCUGCCUUUGAGCGGGGGACAACAUUUGGAAACGAAUGCUAAUACCGCAUAAAAACUUUAAACACAAGCUUUAAGUUUGAAAGAUGCAAUUGCAUCACUCAAAGAUGAUCCCGCGUUGUAUUAGCUAGUUGGUGAGGUAAAGGCUCACCAAGGCGAUGAUACAUAGCCGACCUGAGAGGGGGAUCGGCCACAUUGGGACUGAGACACGGCCCAAACUCCUACGGGAGGCAGCAGUAGGGAAUCUUCGGCAAUGGACGAAAGUCUGACCGAGCAACGCCGCGGGAGUGAAGAAGGUUUUCGGAUCGUAAAACUCGGUUGGUAGAGAAGAACGUUGGUGAGAGUGGAAAGCUCAUCAAGUGACGGUAACUACCCAGAAAGGGACGGCUAACUACGUG
rnacentral:rRNA from 1 species